AGGUCGUGCACCUCAGUGCCCCAAGAUGUCUGCUGGAUGUCUUUUUUUUUUUUUUUUUUUUUUUGGGUCUUUUUUUUGGAGCUGGGGACCGAACCCAGGGCCUUGCGCUUCCUAGGUAAGCGCUCUACCACUGAGCUAAAUCCCCAGCCCCUGUCUGCUGGAUGUCUUAAUUCUCAGUCAGCAAAGCCUCUCACCUGCUCUGCUCCAUCCCAUAUCACACUGCCCAAGGCCUCUCUCUGAGCCUGGCAGCAAUCUCUCUACCCAUCUAGUUCCUAAGGCAGGUUUCCAUGCCAGAAACACACAUCCCAACUCCGUGGUGGCCCAGACCAGCCACCACACACUCCCUUACACUUAAAUCUACACAUGAAAGAACACACAACUCAAUAACCUUUGGCCCAAUUGAUAAGAUAUAAUUGCCCACCUAAGCAUACAAAACCCAAUACACAUCCAUCCCUUAAAAACAUUUAUAAUAACCUGUAAAGAUACCGCGUGGAAUCUUAAUGUCACCCACCAUAUUGUCCUGCCAUGGCUUCUUUCCACGUCCAUCCUGUCUCUUCCUUCACACUUCUCUCCCACCCAUCCUUCCUU
rnacentral:lncRNA from 1 species